CACAGUUCAACACAAAGGGUCACAGCUCCAGCGUUUCAACCAACAGCUCCACAAAAGAUUUUGAUACGGCCCUGUGUGACCCAUCGCUUACAGUCAACUCUGCAUUGAGGGAUGCUUUGUGUACCACACAACACACAUGGCCCCACCCCCUUUCCUCCUACACAAUACAAUGGAGGGACUACAGGAAUUCCUCUACAAGUACCUGGCUCCUGAUUGGUCAGAACGGAAUUCUAAAGCCAAUCAGUUGAGACAUUGACUCGUGUACUGCUACCGGUUCACUGUCUGUUGUCCUGGCAUCAUGAGGAGCAGGAGGCAGGUUUAUGAGCUCCCUGGAGAAACUCCCUUGGAGACAGUCUGGCCAUGUGUGCUGCCCUAAUGAUGAAGGCUUGAAAAUCUGUGAUAUUAUUUAAUAAUACAUUUUGAAUAAUCUUCUGGCUGCGGAGACAAUAUUAUUAUUCUUUAAUCAGACAGACAGAGACUCUCCUACUUACAAAAUGUAUCUCCUCAUGCCAUGAACUGAGAACAACCAGUGGAAAUUCAGACUAGACUAAUAAAUAAAUUAAAUAAGCACGGUGGUCCAGUGGAUAGCUCAGGAAGAAAGUUGCGGGUUCAAACCCCGGUUGCCCCGGCCUUUCUGUGUGGAGUUUGCAUGGUCUCCGUGGGUUUCCUCUGGGUGCUCCAGUUUCCCCCACCACCAAAAACGUGUUCUCCUGUCAGUGCCCACUGCUCGCCUGUAUGUAUGUGACAAUAAAGAAUCUUCUUCUAGAA